AGGCGACGCCGACGCGAGUUUGGCGGCUGCUGCUUGCGACUGCGGAGGCCGGGCGAGGCCGGUGAGGACGCGGCGGGCGAGCGAGAGGCCGAGGUGUUUUCUUCACUCAUGGUGAAGAAUGGGGGAGAUAGAAGGAACAUACAGAGUCCUGCAGACUGCAGGGACACGCUUGGGUGCCCAGACCCCUGUGGGAGUUAGCACCCUUGAGCCUGGGCAGACUCUCUUGCCCAGAAUGCAAGAGAAGCACCUGCACCUCAGAGUAAAGCUGCUGGACAACACCAUGGAAAUAUUUGACAUUGAGGUUUGAAAAAUAGCAGCCUAAAUGCGAUGGCCAGGUAUUACUGACACAAGUGUGGAAGCGUUUAAACCUGGUAGAAUGUGACUACUUCGGGUUGGAGUUUCAAAAUACUCAGUCCUACUGGAUUUGGCUUGAACCUAUGAAACCCAUCAUUAGGCAAAUACGAAACAGGGUCUCGCUAUUUGUUGCCCAGGCUGGAGUGUAGUGGUGUGAACACAGUUCUCUGCAGCCUCAACCUCCUGGGUUCAAGCUAUCUUCCCACCUCAGUCUCAAGAUAAUUAUUUUCGUUCAUCUACUUAUUAAAUUUUUUAAACUAAGG
rnacentral:sRNA from 1 species